rnacentral:lncRNA from 1 species
GUCAAAGUAGAUUGUAAAAAGAUAAAAAACAACUAUUUUUUUGGGGGGAAAAAUAAAGCUAAAAUUUUGUGGGGUCAUUGGUCCCCACAUGAAUGUCCCCAUGUCCUUUCAUGCCCAUAGUUGCUAGUAACCAUAGAUAUACAUAUAGGAUUGUGUAUUCGAGGGUCCAAGAAGCAGUUGGACAAUGACCCAGUACUCAUCAUGCACAUUCUGACUACAAGUAUCCGAUGCUUUUUUUGCCAGGGAAAAUUACAUGGAGACAUGUUUUUCAAGUUUCAACUUCAAAAAUCACGUUUUAAGCUUUGUUUUACAAAAAUCAGAUGAUAAUUUAACUUUUUAAUAUUAAAAUAAUAAUAUCAUAAAAUUUAAUUAAUAAACCACCCCCAAAUCGAAAUUUUGCUGAAUUAUAUCGUAUUCCCCCUCUCCCCUCUCUCUCUCCCCACAUUGGCGUUGCAUCACGGUGGAGAGCACUAUUGUGUGCAACGGCGAAGAGCACUAUUACGCCAGAGUGAGAGCCUGAAGUGGCGAUUCUGUCAUAGUUACUCUUUGAGCGGCGUAGUACUCAUUGCUGUUGCUACAUACACCAGGCAUUUUGGGGCUUGUUGCAGUGCAAGGAGGGAUUUGUGUUGGAGAUUCAGGGAUUUUCAUGGGAGGAGCUUAUUGUGCAAUAAUUGAGGUUUGUGGUGUGGAAAUGGGCAGAGGUAGUGAAGUGGUGAUGACGGCCGGUAGUUUUGGUUGUUUUCGCGGCAUUGGCGGAUCGAGAACAUCCUUGCAAAACUGGUAUUCAAUUAUUCCGAUCUUGUCUCACCACGGCCAUGAAAUUGAGUUUGUGGUGAUGGUGGCUUUUGAUUUGAUGUAGAUAUGGUGGUGGUGGUGCUUGUGGAUUGGGGAACAAGUGGUGGUGAUGAUGGUGGCGGUGGUGCUUGUGGCCUAGGUAGUACCUUGCAGGAGGUGAUAUAUUUAAGGUUGUCCACGACAUAUUUAUUGUUGGAUCUUUAACGUGGUGGCAGUGGUGCGGUGAUGUGGGUGGUGGUGGUUAGGAUUUGUUGAAAGUGACGGUGGUGUGCAUUUGGUUGAUGUUGUUGGAGUGGUGGUAGCGACGAUGAAAAUCUAGUAUGAUCGAGUCUAUAUCCAUUGUGAGUGUCCGUGCCAGAUCUAUAAUAAUUGUGACUGUAUGUAACUUGGUUACAUAUAGUCACAAAUUAAAUUGAUAUGGUCACAAAUAGUCAAACUAGAGACAGAAUUGGUCACAAUUAGUCACAGAUAAGAAAGGUCAGUGAAUGUUGUAAAAUUGGAGGUGAAGGUAGUAGUGACUGGUAGUGGAUUGUGGUACUGGGAUACGGUGUGUGAAGAUUUGUUUAUGGUGACUCUUUGAGGUCAAGUAUGUGUUUAUUGUGAAAAUUGUGACUAAUUCUGUAUUAACUGUGAUCGAUUGUGACUUGAUCACAUACUGCCACAGUAAAUAUUGAAUUGGUCACAGACAGUCACACUGAAUACAAAUUUAAUCACAGUUAGUCACAGACAACACAUUUCGGUGACACACUGACUUGGUCAGAGACGAUCUGGCCAUAGUUAGUCACAGAUACACACAAGUAUGGUCACAAACUAUAAAUCUAAUUACAUAUAAAACAAUUAAUUACAAAACCUGUCAACUACAAUAUAACACUACUGCCAUCAUGCAGUACUCAAAAUGUUGUUAACACCUCACCACCACCACCACCAAACAGAUUAACUGCAAUGCAACUUCAUUACCUCCAAUGCAUUAUCUCUGCCAAAAUACAGAUCUAUUUUUUAAACACAGCUCCACCUUACCACCACAACCACCAUCUGUAAAGUUUUGUGUUUGAAUUCUGUUCCUUUGUUUGUUUUAGUUCUUGUGAAUGAAUUUAUUUCUGGUUUGCCACUGGUAUUGAAACAAUGUAGAACCACCCAAAAGAGAAACCUAGAAAAUCUUCUAUUUUAUCUCGUUGGUGAGUGCACUCUUACGUAUUUCAAUUUGACUUUAUUUUCAAGAAAUUAUGUUGUGCUGGGUGUAAUUUAAUUUUGUAAAUUCCUCAAGUGUUUUUCAACAUUAAUUACUUCAAAAUGGGAUCAAUUGUGGUUUUUAUUUUUCUUUAUCAUUACUACAAGGUUCCUUUUAAGAACUUUUAGUAUGCUAAUUUUGUGGGCAAUGAGUUAAUUUAUUUAUAUUUUUUGUAUUACUGCUUCACUUGACAUGUUAAUGUCGAUGAUUCAUAAAGACGGUAUGGGAGAUAUUUCUCAUGGCUUGGGGUGAGAAUUGCAUAUGGGUGGUGUAGAGGUUGAUAGUUCUAUAAUUUAAAUGGAUUUCUUUUUAUAAUAUACAUAUUUUUUGGUGUUGGAUUGCAUCAAUUGAGUCCUUAGUUGAAAAGGGGUGUGCAAUAAAGGCAAGGAAAUGAACAAGCCCUUUCAUUUUGAGUAAAUAAUCAUUGAUUGACUAAGAAUCCUUCUUUGUAUGUUUCAAAUUUGUCUUCAAAUGCAAGAUUUCCCACAAAAUAUAAGGCGGAAUCAACAGGUCAAAGGUGGUGGAGUCGAUGAUGUUGUUUCUUGUAGGUUGGUCGAUAGAUAGAAGCAGUCGAUGAUGAUGGUUUCUUACUCUUUUUUGUCCUUUUUUUCCCUUUAGUUUAUAAAAGGUUUCAAGAAUUUGUUUUAUUUACGUUUCUCUUACUACUUUUAUAGUUAAAACUGAAUUUAUUGAAGAUAUUUCAACCUUUGUAAAUCACUCUCCAUGAGCCUGUACCUAUAGAUUUAUGCCUUGUAUUGAUGGGUAAAGAUAACUUUCUAAUUCUUACAUUUCUAAUUGUAGAUAGUUGGGGGUGACAUAAGUAUUUAUAUCUCAAAUUUCCUUUUUUUCUUUCGGACAGUUGAUUUUAUGGAAGUUCACCGGUUUAUUUAAUAGGAGUCACCUACAAUACCGGUAGAAAUUAGAAGAACAAAUGGAAGGAAUUAGUUGACUGACUUCGCAUCAUAUUACUUGGUAUUGCCCUAAUACUUUUAUUUUGAGCGAACGGUGCAAGUUAUAGUGUAUAAGCCUUGGGAGAUAUUGUGCACUGAUUCUUAAGCAGGAUUUCAGCAAGGGAUAUGAUGGAAAGGAUGUUGUGCAAAAUCUACGCCAAGCUUGCUUUUUAAGAUAGCCAAUAAAAGUGGAAAACUAUGGCUUGAGUGGGAUUAUGUCGCAUAUUUUGCAAUCUGCUAUCCUAUGAAGGAGAACAAAUACAGUAAAGAUUGUGUAGAUGAAGUAAUCCGUUCACUUUGUAUGUUACAAUUCCUGUUUAUCAAUGUUUUAAUCAACCAACAAAAAAAAAAUUAAAUUAAAUUAAAGCAUGCAGUAUAAUGUAUGUUUACAUGAAUAUUCAUUUUCAUUUUGUAGAUGAGUUGAUGUGACCAAAAUCCUGUAUACUAUAAUGGAUACCAACAUUAACCAUACUGCAUCAUUUUAUUAUCACUAAGUGUCGUCAUUUGUCACUGUUUUAUUUUAAUUAUUUAAUUUUUUUCUCUUUUGAGAAUGAGAAAUCACAUCCAUUGUUCUUAAAUUGUUAGUUAACUACAAGGCUUAGGGAUUUAACAGUUAUGGCUGCUUAGAGUAAGCUGGAUGGUUGUUUACUGCUGUAGUAAUGGUUUUUUCCUAUUCGUAUUGCUUGUAGUUCUUGAAAUUAUGUUGAUUGAUGUGUAUUUAUCACCCUUAAAUUUUAAUUUCAUCUAAAUGCCUGCUGUAUCUUAUAAUGAGUUGUAUCCGUGUGAAACUGGUGACAUGGAUUAACCUUGGAUUUCGAUCAUAUUUCAUACAUUAUCGAUCAUCUAAAUGCUUGUAACCUGCUAGCUGGAAGUUGCAAUUGAAGGUGAGAUGGGGGAAGGUAUGAAAAUGAAGCUCUCAUCUCUCUAUUUUUAGAUGAUGAAAAGAUUACAAAAUCAGUUAAUAUCUUUGCAGAAUAUGGUAUCGCUAGAUAAAUAGAAGAUGUCAUAAUCUUCUAGAAUGUCAAAAAUAGAUGGCAUGGUUAAUAGACUUCACAUGAUGGUCUUUAAGCACCAAUGUUCCCAUCAAAUCUGCUCAAGAUACUAUUGACAUGCUAAAAAAUCAUUACCCUGAAAGACUAGCCAUGGAAUUUUUUACAAACCCCCAUGUAUAUUUGAAGCAUUUUGGAAGGUUUUCCAUUUUCCUUUUAUAAUCAUUGAUUUUAUUUUCUGAUCUUUAGGUAAUGAGAGAGUAGACUUUGCAUUAUGGGUUUCUUUUUUGUUGGAUUACAUGGGAUAACUGAAGCAUUCUUUUACAACGGUUAGAAUCAUCUUUUUAGUCGUGGUUUACUUCGUGAGGAAGGGAAUAUGUUGGAUUAGAACUUAGGACUAUACUACAUUAAAUUAAUUUUGUAUGUGCAGAUCUCAGUUAGGAAAUUUUACGUUUUUAUACUACAAUUUAUUCAUUUUCAUUAGGUAAAGAAUUGACCUUUCCUCCAUACUAAUUUAGAAAUGCUCUUUUAUUGCAGGUUGUAAAAUACUUUUUGAAUGCAAAAUCAUUCUAGAAUGUAAAUUUCUCUACCCAAAAAACAAAGAAAAUCAUGAGAUCCUAUUUUGAUGUAGACAAUCUUCCAGCUGAGUUCAGAGGUAAAGUCGUACUGGCUUUACUACAACCACGUGGAUAAAGCUUGAGAACAGUGUAAAAACAGUAGGUAUUGUAUUACUCCUGUUAUAGAUCUAUACGCAUAUUAGAGUUAAUGUUUAUCCAUCACUUCAAAUGCACUUUAUGAUAUGCAUUAUCUUUCAGUUACUUUGGCUGUACUUGGUGAGAAGACCGCAGUUAUGUCACCUAAAAUACUUGUUAAUGCCGUUGUUCCAUGCUGCAAACAGCAAUUUAAUAUGGUAUCUUAUUCUUUUAUAUUGUUUGCUCGCUACAACUUAAUUUCACUCGCUUCAGGAAGAGGCCCACAUUGCCAAAUUCUCUUAUUUUCUGCUACUCUUAGACUAUGUUAUGUAUUCUUUCACCAAUUUAAGAAAUUAAACAAAGGUAAACUGAGUUAUAUAUAACCGAUGGAGCAGCUCUCAUCCAGCCUAUUAAAUUCAACCUUCCUCCAAUGUUGCCUCCAUCAUUUCUCUGAUCAACCUGUACUGUGCUCCUGAUUAAUAGAUCCCUG